rnacentral:rRNA from 1 species
UGGAGGGCAAGUCUGGUGCCAGCAGCCGCGGUAAUUCCAGCUCCAAUAGCGUAUAUUAAAAUUGUUGCAGUUAAAAAGCUCGUAGUUGAAUUUCUGCUGCUUUGUUUUAGCUCUUUGAUGGGCUUUUGCACUGCGGCUUUUUUCGGUCUUCGCUUCUGCGUUGUCCGGAUGUUUACUUUGAGAAAAUUAGAGUGCUCAAAGCAGGCUUUUGCCUUGAAUAGUUUAGCAUGGAAUAAUAAAGUAGGACUUUGGUUCUAUUUUGUUGGUUUUAGGUACCAAAGUAAUGGUUAAUAGGAACAGUUGGGGGCAUUCGUAUUUAACUGUCAGAGGUGAAAUUCUUAGACUG